UUUGUGAUUAAUAUAAUUAUGCUCCUUCAUGCCUUUCAGUAACAUCAUAAUUAUGCGUUUGUGAGGCAUCACGUAUGGCGGGGAACUUUGAUGCUCUGCAUCAAUGUUUUCUUGUUAAUAUUAGUAUUAAGUAUUAGUUGGCAGUAUGGGUUUCAAGGAUUUUAAUGAAGAGGUGAUACUACACCUUUUAACUUAGUCAAGCUUGGGUCAGUCACUACCCUAUCAGCUCCAUUGUGUCAGCAAGGGCAAAUGUUCUGGCUGAGUGGCUGACCCUAUUGUUCUUGGGGUCAGCUUUGCAUGCUUUUUAACCCUCACUUGCACCUCAGUCACUACACAGACAAGUCACUGACAGACGACAGCAAGUGGGCACGUUUUACAGAUUUUUUACUGUCAAGGUAUUUUGAUGUCACUGUAGCCCUGGCCAUGUAGUCGUGGGAGACUAAAAUUAACCUACACCUGGAGGCCAUACUUCUGGUAUGUUUACUUAUCAUCACAUAAUAAUAUAUGUAUUUACAAUGAGGUUUAUCUAUUGAUUAAGUUUUACAUGACAUAAGAAGUGUGUUGAUUUAUAUAUAAUGUUUUACAUGACAUAAGAAGUGUGUUGAUUUGACGUAUGCAUAUCCUAUAUAUCUGUAUAACAUGAUUCUAAUAUCGUAUCAUGUUCUGGCAUGUUUUCCACGACACAAGUGUGUUGAUUUGACGUAUGCAUAUCCUAUAUAUCUGUAUAACAUAAUUCUAAUAUCGUAUCAUGUUCUGGCAUGUUUUCCACGACACAAGUGUGUUGAUUUGACGUAUGCAUAUCCUAUAUAUCUGUAUAACAUAAUUCUAAUAUCGUAUCAUGUUCUGGCAUGUUUUACACGACACAAGUGUGUUGAUUUGACGUAUGCAUAUCCUUUACAUAUGUAUAAUGUAUAUAUGUACAAUGUAAUUCUAAUGACGUAUCAUGUUCUCAUUUUAUUUGUUAUAUUUUACAUAAUUCUUAUUGAGUGUUAUUGUGCAUUUCAGGGUGUAAAAGUAUAACACAUACUUGUCAUCCAAUAAAACGAAUCCCACCCGUA